CCUACGGGAGGCAGCAGUGGGGAAUCUUGCGCAAUGGGCGAAAGCCUGACGCAGCAACGCCGCGUGCGGGAUGAAGGCCUUCGGGCUGUAAACCGCUUUCAGCAGGAACGAAAAUGACGGUACCUGCAGAAGAAGGAGCGGCCAACUACGUGCCAGCAGCCGCGGUGACACGUAGGCUCCAAGCGUUGUCCGGAUUUAUUGGGCGUAAAGAGCUCGUAGGCGGUCUAGUAAGUCGGGUGUGAAAACUCUGGGCUCAACCCAGAGACGCCAUCCGAUACUGCUGUGACUUGAGUUCAGGAGGGGAGCGGGGAAUUCCUAGUGUAGCGGUGAAAUGCGCAGAUAUUAGGAGGAACACCGGUGGCGAAGGCGCCGCUCUGGACUGAAACUGACGCUGAGGAGCGAAAGCAUGGGUAGCAAACAGGAUUAGAUACCCUGGUAGUCCAUGCCGUAAACGGUGGGCACUAGGUGUGGGUUUCAACUAACGAAAUCCGCGCCGUCGCUAACGCAUUAAGUGCCCCGCCUGGGGAGCGCGUCGCGAGACUAAACUACAANAGAGUAGACGGCGNGAGACGUGCCGAACGGACGACGACGAGGGAGGUAGG
rnacentral:rRNA from 1 species